rnacentral:tRNA from 2 species
GCUCGCAUGGCUCAGAGGUAGAGCACUUCCUUGGUAAGGAAGAGGUCCCGGGUUCAAUUCCCGGUGCGAGCUCCA